AUUGAACGCUGGCGGAAUGCUUUACACAUGCAAGUCGAGCGGCAGCGCGGCCUUCGGGCUGGCGGCGAGCGGCGAACGGGUGAGUAAUGCAUCGGAACAUGCCCAGUCGUGGGGGAUAACACUUCGAAAGAAGUGCUAAUACCGCAUACGUCCUGAGGGGGAAAGCGGGGGAUCGCAAGACCUCGCGCGAUUGGAGUGGCCGAUGUCAGAUUAGCUAGUUGGUGGGGUAAAGGCCUACCAAGGCGACGAUCUGUAGCUGGUCUGAGAGGAUGAUCAGCCACACUGGGACGGAGACACGGCCCAGACUCCUACGGGAGGCAGCAGUGGGGAAUUUUGGACAAUGGGGGCAACCCUGAUCCAGCCAUGCCGCGUGAGUGAAGAAGGCCUUCGGGUUGUAAAGCUCUUUCGGCAGGAACGAAACGGUGGGCUCUAACAUAGUCCGCUAAUGACGGUACCAGAAGAAGCACCGGCUAACUACGUG
rnacentral:rRNA from 1 species